GUGCUGGCUUUGGCAGCACAUAGACUAAAAUUAGAAUGAUACAGAAAAGAUUAGCCUGGCCCCUAUGCAAAGAGGACAUGCAAAUUCGUGGAGUGUUCU
ensembl:snRNA U6 U6 spliceosomal RNA